GCCACCUUGUGGCCGGUGGCAGCAUCGCUGACGACCGCUCGCAGCACCCAGCGCAGGACUCGAGCCUGGGGCCAGGCAGCUGCUCACGUCCGCAGAAACGCGCCGGGCUUGCAGGAGCAGGGGCGGGGCGUACCGGCGCCGGUCACGUGGGUUAGCAACAGGCAGCAGCCAAUAGCGACGCGAGACAGGCGGCGCGUGCGCUCGGAGGCACGGGGAAAAGGCGUGGAGGGCCUGCCUCUGCCCGCUCCAGCAUAGGAUGGAGCCUCUUGCUUGGCAGCUGCACCAGGGAUGGGACCCAAGGUUCCAGUGUUCUCAUCUACAAAUUGAGGAAUGUGAACUAGAUUUAUAGUUUGGCAUGACACCUGUUUGUUCAAGUUGGAAAUGGAAGUAAACUUCGGACCCAGUCACUGUGUCUAAGAGGGGAAGCAGAAGAGAUUCUAUCCCAAACCGGAAGCAGUGUGGCCUCCAGUGAUGUCCAGGAUCUGCCUUUCCUGAUGUCCCAGUGAGAGGGGCUCAGCUCGUGCCUGUUGUUUAAUCUCCUCAUUUUGAAAUUAGAAAGCACUUAAAAUAAAAAUGAAGGACUUGGCUGUU